UGAAAGUGAUGAUGGUAGGUAGAUUCCAAAACUAGCUACAGAAAUCGCAGAAAGACGAUGGAGGAAGCCAAGGGACUGGUAAAGCACAUCUUCCUAGCCAAGUUCAAAGAAGGAAUCCCAUCCGACCAAAUUGAGAAACUGAUUAAGGGAUAUGCCAAUCUCGUCAAUCUCAUCGAACCCAUGAAGGCUUUUCAAUGGGGUACAGAUGUGAGCAUUGAGAACCUGCACCAAGGUUUCACUCACGUCUUUGAAUCUACCUUUGAAAGUACAGAAGGAGUUGCAGAGUAUGUAUCUCAUCCCGCCCAUGUUGAAUUUGCCAAUUUGUUCUUAGCUGCUGUGGAGAAAGUUAUCGUCAUUGACUACAAGCCCACUGCUGUUCGCCUUUAAACCGUGAGGGUAAUUGCUGAGGAUUGCAUCUCGGUCUUUGUUAUAGAAUAACUACAGUAUUAUUGCUGCUGUACAGCAAUUUUACUGCAUGUUAGUGUUUCUUUAUGUUCCAGUUAAAUAGGAUUGUUGGGAACAUGUUCAGCUAAGCAAUUUAUCUUUCAUGUCAGCUUCUUAAUGCAUUCUUGUCGUGGUUUGUAAAUAAACUGAUUUGAAACGAGAGAGUUCUUGGAUUACAAACCACGACAAGAAUGC
rnacentral:misc_RNA from 1 species